AAAUUGAAGAGUUUGAUCAUGGCUCAGAUUGAACGCUGGCGGCAGGCCUAACACAUGCAAGUCGAGCGGUAGCACAGAGAGCUUGCUCUCGGGUGACGAGCGGCGGACGGGUGAGUAAUGUCUGGGAAACUGCCUGAUGGAGGGGGAUAACUACUGGAAACGGUAGCUAAUACCGCAUAAUGUCGCAAGACCAAAGUGGGGGACCUUCGGGCCUCAUGCCAUCAGAUGUGCCCAGAUGGGAUUAGCUAGUAGGUGGGGUAACGGCUCACCUAGGCGACGAUCCCUAGCUGGUCUGAGAGGAUGACCAGCCACACUGGAACUGAGACACGGUCCAGACUCCUACGGGAGGCAGCAGUGGGGAAUAUUGCACAAUGGGCGCAAGCCUGAUGCAGCCAUGCCGCGUGUGUGA
rnacentral:rRNA from 1 species